UAAUACGGAGGUGGCGAGCGUUGUUCGGAAUUACUGGGCGUAAAGGGCGCGUAGGCGGGGAGAGAAGUCGGGUGUGAAAGCCCUCGGCUCAACCGAGGAACGGCGCUCGAGACUCUCUCUCUUGAGUCCCGGAGAGGACGAUGGAAUUCCCGGUGUAGCGGUGAAAUGCGUAGAGAUCGGGAGGAACACCGGUGGCGAAGG
rnacentral:rRNA from 1 species